rnacentral:rRNA from 1 species
UACGUAGGGGGGCGAGCGUUGUCCGGAGUUACUGGGCGUAAAGCGUGCGCAGGCGGUUUUGUAAGCCAGAUGUGAAAGCCCCGGGCUUAACCUGGGAAUGGCAUUUGGGACUGCAAGGCUUGAGUGCGGCAGAGGAGACUGGAAUUCCUGGUGUAGCAGUGAAAUGCGUAGAUAUCAGGAGGAAUACCGAUGGCGAAGGCAGGUCUCUGGGCUGACACUGACGCUCAUGCACGAAAGCGUGGGGGAGCAAACAGG